UUCAGUAGUACUGGAUUCUAUGUGAGUCAAAAUAGCAAAACCUUUAUUUAAUAUCGUUGGCUUCUUCUUCUUUAAAAGGAGCUAGCUGGUGGUAUAUGAGCUACCUACUACAUUCCAGUCCAGCCUGGGCUACAGUGUACUGCUGCGUCACCAAGGAUGACCUUGAAUUCCUCUGACCUUCCUGCUUCCACCUCCUGGUGCUCAGAUUAGACAGACACCAAAACUUCUCCCUGCCUGGAGUUCCUCAGAGAGGAAAGAAUGCACGGUACGCGCAGAGAGGGAGUGGCGGUGGAAAGAUGCCCAAGAAUGUGAAAUCAACAGACCUGAGCCUACUAGCCGGAAGGGUGUGAACACAAAACCCCUUCCAGAAAAACCAAACCAGAACCAUGCGACCGAGGGGGUGAAAUGAGACAGAGAGAAAGGAAGAGGAAAGAACACCUUUGGCAACACUACCCAGCCAGCGUGUAAUAGAAUCUGCAUUUGGCUGCAGAAUCUUGGACUGAUUCCAGUUCAGGAAAUACCAACGAAGGUGCCAGAGACACAAGGCCAGAGGGGCCGUAGCGUUUGGAAUGCAAGCACUGAAUUCCAGAAAUCGGAAAUUUUCUAACAGGCCACCAGAUGGCCUCACUUUUCAGAACCAUUUUAUAGAGUCUGGUUUUAGACCGGUAAACUUUGCAAAGAAUGACUUGGAAAUCAUGAU